CACUUCGGAUGGCUUCUGUCAAAGUGUGAUCUCCGAGUUAAGAUUUUUGCGUAGCGAACACCAAGACUACUGUUAGAAACCUUGGAGUGGUCAGUGACGAGCAUGACAAACAGUUUCAUCAGAUUUCUGAAAUGGAAAAGGGAAACCAAGGCAGGUGGAAUCUCAGUAGGCUUGCUGAGUACUGCUGGACCCUUAAAGGGGAUAUUCCUGAAGUUAAGUACAGCAGAAAAUUGUACACUUCAACCUUCUAGACCAAAUUCGGAAUAUUCCGCCUGGCUCCCAUGACGUCACUACCAAUUCCACCCCAGAAAGUCGUCACUUCCAGUUCCACCCCAGAAAGACGUCACAUUUCCGGGUUCCUCCUGAAUGACAUCAUUUUCACCCUCCAAAUUUUAAACCACCUUGCCUGUACUAUUAUUUCAGUUCUGUAUUGGACUCUUGUCUGUAAAGACUAUUUCCUCUACUUUUGCAUCCGCGGCCAACUUCCAAGUAUACAGGAGGCUGCCCCAAACCUUUUUUAUUGUGUCAAGGCUUGUUUAUUUACCACAGAACGUAAAGAAUAUAAGCAUUUAGUUUGGGACAUCGGGAGGAAGCAUUGAAUUGCCUGACAGCAGCAGACAGAAAAAAAUCUCAAAGGCAUUUCUUAGCUCACCGUGGUGGAAUGAGCCUUUGGCUAAAAGUGUUCCAGUAGGGGAUAGAGGGGAUCUUUCAUGAUGGCAUCCAAUGUUGUCACCAUUCUCUUUUUUAGAACAGCUUCCAUUGUGUCAUGGGUUAGUCUUAUCUUGGAGCUUCAUCAGGCAUUGGCUGUCAUUUGAACUCAAGAUGUUUCCCCAGGAGGCCACAGGGUAGAACAAUGCACUGGCUGCUAUGGACUUGGACCGAUAGAAUAUCUUCAGCAGCUUGCUGCAUACAUGAAAACA